CCUACGGGAGGCAGCAGUGAGGAAUAUUGGUCAAUGGACGAGAGUCUGAACCAGCCAAGUAGCGUGAAGGAUGACUGCCCUAUGGGUUGUAAACUUCUUUUAUAUGGGAAUAAAACGUUCCACGUGUGGGAUUUUGUAUGUACCAUAUGAAUAAGGAUCGGCUAACUCCGUGCCAGCAGCCGCGGUAAUACGGAGGAUCCGAGCGUUAUCCGGAUUUAUUGGGUUUAAAGGGAGCGUAGGUGGGUUGUUAAGUCAGUUGUGAAAGUUUGCGGCUCAACCGUAAAAUUGCAGUUGAAACUGGCAGUCUUGAGUACAGUAGAGGUGGGCGGAAUGCGUGGUGUAGCGGUGAAAUGCUUAGAUAUCACGAAGAACUCCGAUUGCGAAGGCAGUUCACUGGACUGCAACUGACACUGAGGCUCGAAAGUGUGGGUAUCAAACAGGAUUAGAUACCCCUGUAGUC
rnacentral:rRNA from 1 species